UACGAAGGGUGCAAGCGUUACUCGGAAUUACUGGGCGUAAAGCGUGCGUAGGUGGUUGUUUAAGUCUGUUGUGAAAGCCCCGGGCCCAACCUGGGAAUGGCAUUUGGGACUGCAAGGCUUGAGUGCGGCAGAGGAGACUGGAAUUCCUGGUGUAGCAGUGAAAUGCGUAGAUAUCAGGAGGAAUACCGAUGGCGAAGGCAGGUCUCUGGGCUGACACUGACGCUCAUGCACGAAAGCGUGGGGAGCAAACAGG
rnacentral:rRNA from 1 species